UGUAAAGUUAUCUUGCAAAAUUAGAACCUGAAAGCCUAGAAAUGCGGAAUCGGUACAAACCAAAAAUUUAACUUGUGAAUAACAUAGAAAAUAGAAGCCCUUAGUUUUGAUAUUUAUUUUAAAUGCUAGCCCAGACUGCCCAGUGGAGUUUUCAAAGAUAUAAGAAACACGGAAAUUAUUAGUAGUGUUCACCAUGAAUUCUUACAAAUUUCCAGAAAUUGAAAGGAAAUAGGAGGCGUGUGUUCAAAUAUUUUAAAGCAAGAUUUUGUUAGUGAUUAUGGAAGCCUAAAGUUGCAGGCCAUAUCCUUAUCAAAGCAAAAAGUCAAAAAUCUACAGCGUAUGAAUAGUAUGUAAACCUGAAGCCUGCAGCUGAGAUUGUGUUAGAAAGGGUUUCAACAUCAAACUAUACUGAACUCUAACCCUGAAAAUGUUAAUACAAAUCCAAAGCAAUUAUCAGCAUGGCAGGAAAAUUAAAAGCAAAAGUUUCAUUGAAAUAAUAUUGUUUAUAAAUCAGGAUCAAAAUUACAUUAUUUCACUUUGAAAAUAGGACCGGGUGAAGAAUAUUCAUAAUGCGGAGCUUAACCAGUUGAUAUAGUUAGUGUAGUUAUUGUGAUAGAGUGAAUGUGUUGAAUUAAAAUACUUAUUUCUGCAGAAAAACGUGAGCCUAGCUUAAAGGAUACUGUAUAAAUUUCUAAUGUUUUUUUUAUAACUGAUGUUUACCUACUUUUUGUGUUACAUCAUGUGGCGUUAAAAUAUUUUUUUUGGAAUACUUAUAUUAAAUUCUUUUAAAAAUCG
rnacentral:lncRNA from 1 species